rnacentral:rRNA from 1 species
CACAUGCAGUCGAACGGAGCUUAGAGAGCUUGCUUUUUAAGCUUAGUGGCGAACGGGUGAGUAACGCGUGAGUAACCUGCCCUAGAGUGGGGGACAACAGUUGGAAACGACUGCUAAUACCGCAUAAGCCCACGGUACCGCAUGGUACUGAGGGAAAAGGAUUUAUUCGCUUUAGGAUGGACUCGCGUCCAAUUAGCUAGUUGGUGAGGUAACGGCCCACCAAGGCGACGAUUGGUAGCCGGACUGAGAGGUUGAACGGCCACAUUGGGACUGAGACACGGCCCAGACUCCUACGGGAGGCAGCAGUGGGGGAUAUUGCACAAUGGGGGAAACCCUGAUGCAGGGACGCCGCGUGGAGGAAGAAGGUUUUCGGAUUGUAAACUCCUGUCGUUAGGGACGAUAAUGACGGUACCUAACAAGAAAGCACCGGCUAACUACGUGCCAGCAGCCGCGGUAAAACGUAGGGUGCAAGCGUUGUCCGGAAUUACUGGGUGUAAAGGGAGCGCAGGCGGGAAGACAAGUUGGAAGUGAAAACCAUGGGCUCAACCCAUGAAUUGCUUUCAAAACUGUUUUUCUUGAGUAGUGCAGAGGUAGAUGGAAUUCCCGGUGUAGCGGUGGAAUGCGUAGAUAUCGGGAGGAACACCAGUGGCGAAGGCGGUCUACUGGGCACCAACUGACGCUGAGGCUCGAAAGCAUGGGUAGCAAACAGGAUUAGAUACCCUGGUAGUCCAUGCCGUAACGAUGAUUACUAGGUGUUGGGGGGAUUGACCCCCUCAGUGCCGCAGUUAACACAAUAAGUAAUCCACCUGGGGAGUACGACCGCAAGGUUGAAACUCAA